ACGAAGGGACUUCCUUUUCCUCUCUGGCCUAUAUUUUGACAGCGCUGGUUGAAUCCAUGUGCUGACCCAACUGAAGUCGCAGUCGGACAGGAAUCAAAAUGCUGGCCCCUACAUCCUGGCCCAAACACCUUGUUUUGCUCAAAUAUAUAGUCAGAUACCAACGUCCCUUUCAUACUGCUGGGAUUCUGGGAACAGAUGCUUACAAAGCUUGGCCGAAUCCAGCAAAUGCACACGUGAGUGAAAUGGGCAACUGCGGCA